AAGGUUACUACGUGAGGAGUUUGCAUGUGACACACGUAAGGGACGCUUUUAUUUCGCUAAGUGCGCGUAUUCCGACUUGCCUCCCGCACUCAAUGAGAAAGUAAAGUUUCCAGAGACUUUAUCAGCAGUCUUUAGGAUUUCGACAUGAGUGAAAUGAAAGAAUGGCCCCAACUGGUUGGGAAGAGUGGUGAGGAAGCGAAGGCAGAUAUUAAGAAGGAAAAUCCAUCACUAGAGAUCCAAAUCGUUCCGGAGGAUUGUAUGGUGACCGCGGAUUUCAGAACGGAUCGGGUGCGCAUUUUUGUCGACGCACAUCAGAAAGUCGUUCAACCUCCCCGUGUCGGUUGAUUGAACAACCUCUCGGAGGGGGGUUGUGUGCAAUGAUGGAGAUUCAUCAUGCAACACUCAUGAUCGUUACUGAUUUGAUGCAUCCACAAAUUAUAUUUUGUGAUGACAUUUAUGAUUCUGAAAUGUCUUUGUUUAUAAUUGGAUAAAGAUAAGCGAAGACGACUAACGUUUAACAUAGCAGUCAACUGUAAUUAUUAUCAUACAAUAAAUGGAAUUUCACCACUAAAUUUCAUUUAAAUUUCUUAUGUUUGUUUCGUUUACAAAUUGUGCUGGUCUACGUUCCUAGGAUUGGACAGAGUCUAGUAAAUGUGAAUGAAUUAUGUUAGAAAUGUCCUUGAUUACAAUAUUCCUUUACCAAUAAGCAAGUGUUGAGGUAUAUCAUAUAAAACAAGAAAAGGCAAAGCCAAUACACCAUUGUAUCUAUAAUCAACCGGGCUUGUAGAUCUUGUAAAGUAUGACGUAAUAUACGAGAGCAGAGAUGCAGAGGUUAGGACUAAGUUGAAUGAUUCCGAAAAAUCUUAAAGUGAGUUCAUUGUCAAGGUAAGCAAAAAAUGACAUUUUCCAUAUGUCAUUGCAUUUUAAACUAAAUGUACCUCUUGUGAGUGACUCAUGAGCAAACAGCUCAUAUUGACUGUACCGAUGAAAGCAAAGUCCUGGAUUUCAUAACACAAGGCAAACCUUAGAACUGUGGAGAAAAAUCGAGAUUUGCAACAAAUAUAUCACAAAAUUUGUGGCCUGCUCAUAGCUGAUUACGUGUAUAGCAAUAAUUCUCAAGUGGGUCUCGAUCCCAACUGGCUUGGGUUGCUAAACUUACCCCGAAACGAACCUAUUGAAUAAUCUAGGAAAUUGAACAUAGUUGGAAAGGUGAGAAGCAGGCUGACUCAUUGAUGAUAACACCCAGUUUUUGAGGUCCACUUACAAUUGUCGAGAAAAUGUGAGACACGGAACAAAAUUUCUUUCAUUUCACUCAAUAGCUUUAUAGGCAUAAUAUUCGAAACGGAUGUCGUCCCACGCUGACUUGGCUUGCUAUUAAUGUCACCCUAUAAUAUCUAGAAAUGAAAUAUUGGUAAUCCGGAAAAUUUGGGCAUAGUUGGAAAGGUGGGUUGACAUGUUCCACUUUAUGUCGAAAUACAUGCAUCUGUGAUAAAUCAACAGAGGUCCAGUGAUUAGAGCGAAAUGUAACAAUUUCCGAAAACUGAUUUAAUUGAAUCCAAAACAAACAAAAACAGAGUCUUUUAGUUAAUCUAAAUUUAAAGAAGUUUUUUUUAAAUGAAAUUAACCUACAUUAAAGAUUCCGAUUAAGUUCACUCGGCCCCAGGUGGUAACGUUUGACCAUUUUUCAUCAUGGUCUAAUCAGCCUAUCUUGGGUGGCUCGGCGACCCUCCCUUCAACAUCGAGAUAGAUACGAACUCGAUCAGUCCGGUAAUCUUCUGUAACAGCAUAUCCGUAAGGUACAAUUUGCACCUACAACAAUGGAAAUUAGAAAUAAUAGAGUAAAACCUCAAAAUACGAGCGACCAUGAUUUUGAAAACACUAGGGGACUGCACUUCUCGUGUCCUCCGACAUAGCACUUUGUUACUAAUCUCCGCUCACUUAGGAAAAUUAAAGUAGAUUUUUUUCCGAUUUGAGAAAAGCUAAUGUUUUUAUUUCCCGUUAAAAAUCUCUUGAAAAGCUGGCCGCCUGCCCAAAUGUACACAAAUGUUCUUCUAAAAGAUAUGCGCAGACGCGCACGUGAAACUCAUGACUUAUAAUUAUAGGCCAAAGACAUUUAUGGAAUUUAUUCAUUUAUGAUUCAUGUCAGAAAGAGCCAAUUUACUUUGCCUUCUUUAAAAUAAUGCUUCUUCAAACGUCAUUAUCGUCGUCAGUGGAUAGUUAUUACUUAUUGUAGGCUACAUGUACUCCCUCUGCCGUCCUUACCCUGUGGACGGUACGUGAAUGCUAUGAUGUUCGUAAAACACGCAGUAACUGAAUAAAACAAUAUAAGUCUUACCUCCAAAGACGGUGCCUCUCUCUCAAUAACCGCCUUAGCUUCUUCUCCUGUCUGUGAAAGUAAAGCAAAAUAGUGUGGAAACUGUCAGGUGUGCAUGAGAUGAUGAAGUUGUACACUUUUAAUCGCUUUAAUAUCCUUUUUCACUUUAUAUGAAUCCAAUGUGCAUGUAGAUAUUAUGGAUGUUACAUUAGUUACCUUUCCGACGAGUUCUGGCCACGAUCGUUUUUCGGGCGCUUGGCGGCAUCCCAGUGAAAGGACUGCUAGCAGAAGCAGAGUAGAACAGAGCACCAACCUAUUGCCUGCCAUGUUCUGCGCGAAGCAAAAUUGACGGAGUGCAGAAGUUAGAUAAGAAAUUAACGUAAGCUCGGACUUUAAAACAAAUUGUAUACUUGGACGGGGAAAGUUUCUAUAAACCAGUAUACCGCUGCAAACGACAGAUUGCUAUAGCAAAUGUCAGUGAAAGUCAUCUGGCUGCGUCACACCAUAUCAACCGCGAGAGGCGGUUUCAAAGUAAAUACUGCUUUGCAUAAGGGAUCAGAGUGUAUAGUGCAAACAAUAAGCCAUAGGAAAAUGUCCGAAGCGCCCAAAUUAUUUUAGGGAUGUGCCUUCGCUGGAUAAUUUUGUGGAAAUAAUAACCGUGCACUUGCUAACCAAAUAGACGUGUACCAGCAGCUCGGGUAGUCUUAAGUGCACUAGACCAUACAAAAGAAACCUGAUCUCCCUGUAUACAGCCAGUUAAUGAUCUUUGCACAUUCUUUAGUAAUGACUUUAUGUCAGUUGGCUGAACCGGAUUUGAGUCAACGGAUCACACUUCGAGUAUGUGUUUGGUCGUAGCAGUGAUAAGCUUCACCCAUUCUGCUUUGAGUUUGACUUGUCCUUGCAGAAACGUUUGCGAAAAAGAUUAGUCGUUACCAACGUAUUAGCAUUGCCUCAAGGAGGACGUUCAUGGGCGCGAAUCCAUGUGCGAUGGGAACAUAUGUCCCUCAGUUUCUGGGGGGUCAUAGAAUCAUCCCCACACACACUUUUUGUAGCGAGAAAAAGUAUAUUCAGUAGACCUUCAAAUGGGAGAAAAGUAUUCGCCGUUCUGAUGUAAGCUUAAGGGGUGUAAGAUGUACACCAGUGUCAGUGUCCCUAGUUUCAUGUGGCGUCCAGCAACCCCAUCCUUCCCACUUUUCAAAUUUCCACGCCUCGGGUGAUUUAUUUCUUUUACUUGAAGACUUAUGCCACUGAGUAGGUCAAGUUAUUUAGUAACAUUUAUCGGUGUGAAGCAAGGUGUGAUACAGCAGGUCUUGUAAUUGUACAGCCCAAUUCUUUAGUUCUGAGAAGAGAAUGAACUUCCACUAGUCUCCCCCUUUUUAAAAAAUCCGUCUCCCACCUACGCGCCGGCUUCAUUGUAUAGUUGCAGUGUUCCUUGGGAAUAGACCACGUGAAGUAAAUCGGUUGUAUUUUCACUAUCAUACUAUUGUUUGUCCUUUCUGAUCGGAAUUCUUGUUAGUUCAGAUACGAUUCAUCUGGACCGAUUUUCCUUUUGGUUGGUAGAAGCCAGCAGGCUACUAAACGAGGAGGCUCCACACAAUUGUUUUUUAUCAAUCUCUGAAGGCAGCAACCCUUUAUUUUUAAACCACAUGAGUAGAAUUAAGCAAAUAAUUUUGUAGAGACGUUUGAUUUAUUCAUAUAUGCUAACUGAUUUUCCCCUCUAAAACCAUAGAGUAACUGGAGAAAAUAGACAGAGAUUGCAAAUGUGGGGUACAUGAUGAAUGCCUGUGUAUCUCAAAAAUCCAAAAACCGAUCAGUUGUUCUCAGAUUGAUCCAACCGUUUGAAUGCAAAUUAAAAGCUGCAGAGAACCAUGCCAACCGCAUGGGGCUCGAUUCCUACCAAGAGCAGAAACAAUCAGUUGAUUUACAUGUGCUUCUAAAAUUGCUUUUUGACGAUGCGAACAAUUUCGAAAAUAUAAGCUUUUAAAACUAAUAUUGUGAAGAAAAGUAUGUUAAAAGAAUGGUAAUAAUACAAAUAUUAAAAUAAUAAACAAAAUUCGCUUUAUGACUCAUUGUAACGUUCUACCAAUCAAAAACUUUCCACACCCUUAUAUCGGUUUCCCCCCGAAAAUAUCACUAGUAAGUUAAAUGAAAUGCGUUUAAUGGAGCAAAUAUAGCUGCAGUAAUAAUGUAAAGGUUACAAUAAUGUAAAAGCAACAUCAGAAUACAAACAGUAGCAUUGUAUACAUUAUGGACUAACAAUGUAGUCACUAGUGCACGUCUAUGCGCCCCGAGGUACUGUGAGUGACCAGAAGAGGGUUCUAUUUCCCUAUGACCCUCUUCUGGUUACUCUCACGCCUGAGGAGGUCAUAGUCAUGCACUAGUGCCCGAAUUUGUUUUAUCAGACUCCCCUGUGUAAAGUGUAGGAUAAGAAUACGAAAAUGUUCGUCUCGGGAAAAUAUAAUGCUCUGUGGAUCAAGCCGGAAGGCUAGUUUUACUACA
rnacentral:lncRNA from 1 species